rnacentral:rRNA from 1 species
UGGCGAACGGGUGAGUAACACGUGAGUAACCUGCCCUUGACUCUGGGAUAAGCCUGGGAAACUGGGUCUAAUACCGGAUAUGACCGACUAUCGCAUGGUGGUUGGUGGAAAGCUUUUGUGGUUUUGGAUGGACUCGCGGCCUAUCAGCUUGUUGGUGGGGUAAUGGCCUACCAAGGCGACGACGGGUAGCCGGCCUGAGAGGGUGACCGGCCACACUGGGACUGAGACACGGCCCAGACUCCUACGGGAGGCAGCAGUGGGGAAUAUUGCACAAUGGGCGCAAGCCUGAUGCAGCGACGCCGCGUGAGGGAUGACGGCCUUCGGGUUGUAAACCUCUUUCAGUAGGGAAGAAGCCGCGAGGUGACGGUACCUGCAGAAGAAGCGCCGGCUAACUACGUGCCAGCAGCCGCGGUAAUACGUAGGGCGCAAGCGUUAUCCGGAAUUAUUGGGCGUAAAGAGCUCGUAGGCGGUUUGUCGCGUCUGCCGUGAAAGUCCGGGGCUCAACUCCGGAUCUGCGGUGGGUACGGGCAGACUAGAGUGAUGUAGGGGAGACUGGAAUUCCUGGUGUAGCGGUGAAAUGCGCAGAUAUCAGGAGGAACACCGAUGGCGAAGGCAGGUCUCUGGGCAUUAACUGACGCUGAGGAGCGAAAGCAUGGGGAGCGAACAGGAUUAGAUACCCUGGUAGUCCAUGCCGUAAACGUUGGGCACUAGGUGUGGGGGACAUUCCACGUUUUCCGCGCCGUAGCUAACGCAUUAGUGCCCCCCUG